rnacentral:rRNA from 1 species
GGCUGAAACUCGCCUACAUGAAGCUGGAAUUGCUAGUAAUCACAGGUCAGCAUACUGUGGUGAAUACGUUCCCGGGCCUUGUACACACCGCCCGUCACACCAUGAGAGUUGAGAAUACCCGAAGCCCAUGUCAAAGUGGUCGAAGGUAGGCUUGAUGAUUGGGGUGAAGUCGUAACAAGGUAAC